AAAAACAAGAGGAGAAGUCAGCGCCGGCGAUCGUCGGCGACAGGAAAAGGGGGACGGCGGCUGCGCUGCUGGCGGCGGAGAUGGGGUCGGCGGAGAUGGGGUCAGGUGGAAAGGGGCGGCAGUAGAUGGAUUAGGGCACGAAAGGUCGGGGUGUUAAACGAACCUAACAACGCUAAAAAGCGUCGUUAAAGAUCCUUAUUUAACAACGCUUUUGCUAAAAGCGUCGGCGUUGACAGUUUCAAAAUUACGACGCUUAAAAGCGUCGUUAAGAAACGACGCUUUUUAAAAGCGUCGGCAGGUCAGCGCAACCUGCCGACGCUUUC
rnacentral:lncRNA from 1 species